GACGAACGCUGGCGGCGUGCUUAACACAUGCAAGUCGAACGGCAAGACCCUGCUUUUUUGCGGUUCUCGGGUGCCGAACGGGUGCGUAACACGUAAGUAACCUGCUCUUCUCUUUGGGGUAACUUCACGUAGCUAGACCUAAUACCGGAUAGCAGCUCCUCCUCCGGUGUAGGCAUUGGAAAUUUGCGGCGUUUGUGGAUGGACUGGCGGCUUAUGGGCUUGUUGGUGGGGUAGUGGCUUACCAAGGGUUUGACGGGUAGCCCGCCUGAGAGGGUGACCGGGGACCAUGGUACUGAGAGACGGCCCAGAGUGCUAUGGGGGGCAGCAGUGGGGAAUAUUGUACAAUGGGCGGAAGUCUGAUGAAGAAACGCUGGGGUCGGGAAGACCGUCUGUGGGUUGUAAAACGCUUUAGCCUGUGACGAAGCUGGAGUGACGGUAAUGGGUAAAGAAGCACCGGCUAACUACGUG
rnacentral:rRNA from 1 species